rnacentral:rRNA from 1 species
ACGAACGCUGGCGGCGUGCUUAACACAUGCAAGUCGAACGGAAAGGCCUCUUUCGGGGGGUACUCGAGUGGCGAACGGGUGAGUAACACGUGAGUAACCUGCCCUUGACUUUGGGAUAACUUCAGGAAACUGGGGCUAAUACCGGAUAGGAGCUCCUGCUGCAUGGUGGGGGUUGGAAAGUUUCGGCGGUUGGGGAUGGACUCGCGGCUUAUCAGCUUGUUGGUGGGGUAGUGGCUUACCAAGGCUUUGGCGGGUAGCCGGCCUGAGAGGGUGACCGGCCACAUUGGGACUGAGAUACGGCCCAGACUCCUACGGGAGGCAGCAGUGGGGAAUAUUGCACAAUGGGUGGAAGCCUGAUGCAGCAACGCCGUGUGCGGGAUGACGGCCUUCGGGUUGUAAACCGCUUUCGCUCAUGACGAAGCUUUGUGUGACGGUAGUGGGUAAAGAAGCACCGGCUAACUACGUG